GACGAACGCUGGCGGCGUGCCUAAUACAUGCAAGUCGAGCGAAUGAAGAGAAGCUUGCUUCUCUGAUUUAGCGGCGGACGGGUGAGUAACACGUGGGCAACCUGCCCUACAGAUCGGGGUAACUCAGGGAAACCUGGGCUAAUACCGGAUAAUCCUUCGAAUCACAUGUUUUGAAGUUGAAAGGCGCUUCGGCGUCACCGUAGGAUGGGCACGCGGUGCAUUAGCUAGUUGGUGGGGUAACGGCCUACCAAGGCAACGAUGCAUAGCCGACCUGAGAGGGUGAUCGGCCACAUUGGGACUGAGACACGGCCCAAACUCCUACGUGAGGCAGCAGUAGGGAAUCUUCCACAAUGGACGAAAGUCUGAUGGAGCAACGCCGCGUGAGUGAUGAAGGUUUUCGGAUUGUAAAACUCUGUUGUAAGGGAAGAACAAGUACGUUAGGAAAUGAACGUACCUUGACGGUACCUUAUUAGAAAGCCACGGCUAACUACGUGCCAGCCGCCGCCGUAA
rnacentral:rRNA from 1 species